GGGCAACCAGAGCUUGCUUGGAAAGAAGUAAAGUCAUCGAGAAAGUCCAAAGUACGGCAUGGUGUUUGUGUCCACGACAUUACAGAUGGAAAGGAGACAUUCGCGAUAAGUGCUGUGAAUACAAUUGAUGGUGAGAAACCUCCACCAUUCAAUUACAUCCAGAAGAUUAUAUAUCCUGACUGGUUCCAGCCUUCUCCUUUUAAAGGUUGUGAUUGUAUUGGGAGAUGUUCUGAUUCCAAGAAGUGCUCAUGUGCAGUUAAAAAUGGUGGUGAGAUCCCAUACAACCGUAAUGGGGCUAUUGUUGAAGUGAAGCCUCUUGUAUAUGAAUGUGGUCCUCAUUGUAA
rnacentral:misc_RNA from 1 species